AUUAAACAAAGUGGAGCUGUGAUUAGUCCUCCACAGGGGGGAAAGAAAAAGACACCCUUGAAUCAAAAUGCGAGGACCUGGCUGGGCAUUAUUGCUUCACAAUGCAGGAGUUUAUUGCUGAAACCUGCUUAUCGCCCAGCUCCGCACUCCAUGGGAACUUCAGUCAGAUGCAGGUGUUGAAUAAAGUCACUGCUUCAGAUUUUGCAGAAAACUCCAAGGAAGAGAAAGCUGGGAUGGCAGGACUCCACUUAUCCUCAGAAUAACAGUUUGUACUCUCUCCUCAUCUUCACAAAAGGAAUACAAUAACGAUCAAAAGGAAAACAGCCCAACCAAUCCACCAAUGCAAGAGAGCAGUGAGGAAAGAAAACAGCUAUCAGUAAAAUGCUCCUGGGCACUGCUAUGUUCAAAUCAGAUAUGGAUAAAACAUCCACAAAAACACAG
rnacentral:lncRNA from 1 species